CCAAGGCAGCACGGCCAGUGCUGCCCUGGAGAGGGGACAGAGGAGACUGGGAGAUGUCAGGGAGACGGUAGCAACCCUGCGCCUGCUGGCAGGAUCCAUCUCCCAAUCCUCCCUGAGGCAGGGAAGAGGGUUUAGGGAUGUGAGGGGAGGAACGGGGAGAAGGGGUGUUAAACUGGGGUCCCGAAUGCUUCCCAACAUUUUCUACAGAUGUAACAAUAAGGCCAAAGGAUAAAAUUUCCCCACUGAAAGAUUCCCUUUAACUCGAAGAACGUAGAACCUUUUCCCUCUAUGGUCCCAGAACUCAUUAGAAUGGAUUCCUUCAUAACAUCAGAAAAAUACUUGAACAACCAAUGAAGAAAAGAUUUUAAAUCUCCCUUUGAAAAAUGAAAAUUUUCCCCAGCAAGGAUUCCGUUAACUUGUAUAAACUUGGGUAUAAACUUCCCUCUGUGGGUGGGUCAGUUUGGCUCCCAUCCCCACACUUCCUCCCAACAUCCAAGAGGAAAAGAAGUCAAAGGAAAGACAAAAAAGGGUGACCCCCAAAUAUAUUAGUCACAAGACAGUGGGUCAACAAAAGCUCUCCAGGUGCUCCGUCAGCUCCAACCGAUCUUCUCACCUCAAGAAGGUUGCCAGUCGCCUGUGGGAUUGCCCCAAUAAAACUUAAGAGUCUCCUCUGGGAACUGGCUGCUCUGAACAUGGCUUAGUUUCAGUAGCAAACAAGCUACUGAAGACACCUCCAGGAAUGCUCUGAAGAGGUCCUUGUUCAGGCUGCCAGCUGUCACAAGCCGCAAACCCAUUGGUGGUGGAGCGAGAGGCAGCAGAGCUGUGACCUUCCAGAAGCAUCUCCAGUAUUGAAGCUGCUCAGUGGCACAGGCACGCAAACACAGAAUCCCUGCAGCACACACUUCUCUUGUAGAAUCACCAACAACAAAGAAGCGGGAAGGGCCUAUCUAUGGAGGUCAAAGUAGGAGGUUUAUUCCAGCCAUACACAAAGGAGUCCAGGGACAAAGACAAAAAGAACAGUGGGAGGUCCGGGUUUAAAUACAAGGGACAAGGGGGAGCGGAUUAGAGCAUCAGAGCCAAUGGGCUGAGGGCUGAGGGCGGUACAGAGGGGAGACAAGGGGUGGCAGCCAAUAGGGUAAAGGGGGUGGGACACUGAGGCAAUAUAGGGCCAAUGGAUAUGCAGGGAAGGGAGAACAUUCAAGGACAUAUAAAUAUAAGGAAAAAGGGAGGGAGAGGGCAACAGUCCAACCAGGAAGGUAGAACUGGGUACAUUUGCAUAUACAACAAAGCAUCUUGGAAGAGGGUCUGCUCAGUUGCCCUGAACAGGAGAGAUUUCUCCAACUUGGGGUCUGUCUGUCUGUCCAAAGGACUAUAAUGGCCUUUGUUCUGUAGGCCCACCGGCCUCCACAGAUGCUCAGUAGAAAAAGGGGUUAGAAGCCUUGCUUGUGAAAUUUGUGGGACAUGCAAACCAGAAUAUCGCAGCCUUCAUGACUGACCACCUGGCCAGAGAGGGAACCCACUCAGACCCUGCUGGGCAAACCCACAUUCCUAGAGAGACCCUUGAGGGUAUUACUGAAGCUGUGCAUAGCACAUUUUUAAAGGUUCCCGAUGCUGUGACCCCCAAAAAGCAUUUACUUAUGUAAAGCAAGGACCAGCUGAGCCUUAUAUGCAAUUCAAGGGCUGCUUGAAACAAGCUCUUAAAAGACAAAUAGAGAACGACAUUGCCAGAGAGGUGCUGCUUUCAAAAUUAGCUGUUGAAAAUGCUAAUGACAAGUGUAAAAAACUUCUGAAGUCCAUGUCUAAGAAGAAACCCACCCUGCUGUAAAUGAUAGAGGCAUGUAACCACCUGUGUACCUUCAGCAUUGGGCAACUGUUACUUAUGAAGCUGUGGGGGCUGGUAUAGCAAAUGCCUUUGUGUGGAAGGGGCUAACAGCGGGCCUGUUAGCUAAAGGAGUGAGAAGAAAGGUAAGAAGCAAGAAGUUGAUAAGGAGCUCUCUCCAGGGCUGUAGCCAAGGAGACCAAGAGAAGUGUGGAAUUGAAAAAGAAGAGAACUUUGCAGCUGGAUGAAGUAAUUUUAGAAAGUUAGUUGAAGUCAUUGUAACUUUUCAGCAAUGAUGUUAUGUUGAUUUAUUGUGGCCAAUAGUUAGGGUAGAAGAAGUAUCAACAAUUAAAAAUGUAUAAAAGGUCCACCAUUUUCUAUAAUAAAGAGUUGCCAUCUGAGACUGCUUGUGAUCUCUGCUUUGUGUCAUGACUGCCUUGACAGUGUCAUCUGGUGACCCCGACGUGAUUCAACACCCUUAAGAACAUCCUUGGUCUGGACCCAUACGGGGUCUUAGCAACUGGCAAACGUGACUCACUGGGACCUAGUGGGGGAGGCUGCGUUGGUACAGCUGAGAAUGGCGGGUGGAAACCACAGGGAAGCCCAGACCUGAUUUUCUCCUAUCAAGACACUUGGAAGUAGGCCAAAUAAAAUACCAUUUGCCUUCUCAUCCUGUUCUAAAACUGGCCAAAGAAAUUCCUUUUGAAGGGAAACAAAUUUGCUCUCCUGUUCCAGUGGAAGGUAUAACAGUUUUUACAGACGGAUCCGGGAAAACGGGAAAAGCAGCUGUGGCUUGGAGAAAGGAUGAUCACUGCUAAUAUGAGACAAUGAUUCAGCAAGGAUCUCCUCAAUUGGUUGAACUUUGUGCUGUUCUUCUGGCUUUUACUUUAUUUCCUGAUUCUGUAAAUAGAGUUACAGAUUCCAUUUAUGUUGGCAAUUUAGUUCUGCAUUUAGAUCAAGCAUUGUUGUAUAAUAUUCAAGAGAAACCAUUAUUUAUCAUGUUAGUGAAGUUAUGGACAGUUAUUAGUGGUCAAAAACAUCCUUACUUCAUCGUGCAUAUUUUUAGCCAGACAUCAUUACCUGGAUUUUUUUUUGAAGGAAAGACCUAUGUAGAUUCUCUAGUAGCUGCUGCUGCAACCGAGACUGUACCUUAUGCGUUGCAGCAAGCAAUUUUAUCUCAUCAAUUUUUUCAUCAGAGUGCUCAAGCUUUACGGCAGCAAUUUAAAUUGUCUCCUGGUGAAGCAAAAUAAUUCUUUCUUCUUGUCCUGAGUUGUUGCAUGACUCAUGUCACUCAAUAUUAUGGUACCAGCCCUAGUGGUCUUUCCGCUUUAGAGGAAUGGCCAACUGAUGUUACUAAAAUGCCAGAAUUUGGUUGCUUUAACUAUAUUCGUGUCGCAAUUGACACCUUUUCUCAUGCAAUGGUUGUUUCAGCAUUCACAGGAGAAAAAACUCAUGAUGCUAUUCGUCAUUUUCAUAAUGCCUUUUCUAUUCUAGGUGUUCCAUGUCACAUAAAAAUGGAUAACGGCCCAGCAAAUGCUUCGCAGAAAAUGCAAACAUUCUUUCGUGCUUGGGGCAUUGAGCAUUCAACAGGCAUUCCACAUGUCCCCACAGGCCAGGCAGUCAUUGAAAGGGCCCAUGGUCUUCUUAAACGUCAGGUUCAAAAACAAAAAGGGGGAAUGUAACAGGAGUCACCUCAAGUGAGAUUAGAUAAAGCUGUUUAUGUGUUAAACCUUUUGCAUUCCCUACCUGACUCACAGUUAUCUCCAAUCUUUUACCAUUUUCCCUCUUUGAAUUCUAAGCAACCAGAUUUCUGUAGAAAUGUCAAGGUAUGGGUCAAGGAUUUAAUUACUGGUAGGUGGUCUGGUCCAGAGGAACUGAUAACCUGGGGGAGGGGUUAUGCUUGUGUUUUGACAGACAAUGGUCCUCGAUGGGUUCCUGCUCGCUGUGUUAAACCUUAUCUGGAGCGCGCAGGACAGGACAGGAUGGAUGGUUCCGCAGCUGAAGCAGAACAUAUGGAUGACACUGGCUAAGGCCAUAGAUCAGGACAUGUAUUUCAUCAGUUUUAAUGUGCAUUCAUAGUAAUUAAAGGGUGUGGUUUUGGUUUGCACUGAUCAGGAGAAUGCAAGUUUUUGGAAUCUUUGUUCUAGUAUUCCUGCAUCUCCUUUUGAGCACUUGGGGUAGUUAUAGUUUAAGAUUUGAGUAUUAGACAUAUAACUUUAUGGGAUAAAGUAGUUAAGAAUUUUAAAAGCACUUAUAGAUGAAGGACAGGAACGAUUGUAUUAAGAAUGAGAAUGUUAAUUUUGUUGAUGGUUGUGAUUGUUGCUUUGUGUUUCCCCUGUCUGCUUGGAUUUUUGCAAAGGGCCCUGCAAAAAUCCAUAGCAGCUGUAUUUACAGUUCAAAAACAAAAAGGAGGAAUUUUGGGAGGAUCUAUCAAUGGGCCUGUUAGCUAAAGGAGUGAGAAGAAAGCUGAGAAGCAAGAAGGAGCUGAUAAGGAGCUCUCUCCAAGGCUGUAACCAAGGAGACAAGAGAAGUGAGGAACUGAAGAAAGAACUUUGCAGCUGGACGAAGUAAUUUUAGAAAGUCAGUUGAAGUCACUGUAACUUUUCACCAAUGAUGUUACGUUGAUUUAUUGUGGCCAAUAGUUAGGGUAGAAGAAGUAUAAACAAUUAGAAAGUGUAUAAAAGUUCAGCCAUGUUUGAUAAUAAAGAGUUGCCAUCUGGGA